rnacentral:tRNA from 1 species
UGCUCCGCGCCGGGCUCGAACCGACGACCUUUGGCUUAUUAGACCAACCAACUGAGCUAGCAGAGC